rnacentral:rRNA from 1 species
GAUGAACGCUAGCUACAGGCUUAACACAUGCAAGUCGAGGGGCAGCGGGAUUGAAGCUUGCUUCAAUUGCCGGCGACCGGCGCACGGGUGAGUAACGCGUAUCCAACCUUCCGUACACUCAGGGAUAGCCUUUCGAAAGAAAGAUUAAUACCUGAUGGUAUGAUGAGAUUGCAUGAUAGCAUCAUUAAAGAUUUAUCGGUGUACGAUGGGGAUGCGUUCCAUUAGGUAGUAGGCGGGGUAACGGCCCACCUAGCCAACGAUGGAUAGGGGUUCUGAGAGGAAGGUCCCCCCACAUUGGAACUGAGACA